rnacentral:lncRNA from 1 species
GGCCUUGCUCUUAUGUCAUCUGACUAAAAGUUUCAUAGACCAAAGAUAACCAUCCAACCUGUUGGAAUACUGAAACAAUUGCUGCCUGCUUUCCACACACUACAUAAAAUAUGUGGAUAUCCUAAAUUCUACAAAAAAAGAUUUGUAAGCAGAUCAAGCAAUACUGGGACUCCCUCUUCUCCAGAAGAGACAUCCUGGCCUCCAUGCAGAGGAAUGUGUGGAUGGACAUAUAUUUAAGGAAGACACUAAACCAGAAAAUACUACAUUACACCCUCUUAAAAGACUUCUAAGAUUGUUGUCAUGCCUACCACUGACAUUCAGAUGAUGUGUAUUCUUGAUUGUGAUUUCAUGUUUGGAGCUGAUGAAGGAGUUUGAAGUCUCCAGAGCAGCAAGGAGAGUGGGGAGUAGAACUCAUCAUCUUUAGGUCACUCAUCCCCG